UACGGAAGGCAGCAGUGGAGAAUAUUGCACAAAUGGGCGCAAGCCUGAUGCAGCCAUGCCGCGUGUAUGAAGAAGGCCUUCGGGUUGUAAAGUACUUUCAGCGGGGAGGAAGGCGAUGCGGUUAAUAACCGCGUCGAUUGACGUUACCCGCAGAAGAAGCACCGGCUAACUCCGUGCCAGCAGCCGCGGUAAUACGGAGGGUGCAAGCGUUAAUCGGAAUUACUGGGCGUAAAGCGCACGCAGGCGGUCUGUUAAGUCAGAUGUGAAAUCCCCGGGCUUAACCUGGGAACUGCAUUUUGAAACUGGCAGGCUUGAGUCUUGUAGAGGGGGUAGAAUUCCAGGUGUAGCGGUGAAAUGCGUAGAGAUCUGGAGGAAUACCGGUGGCGAAGGCGGCCCCUGGACAAAGCUGACGCUCAGGUGCGAAAGCGUGGGGAGCAAACAGGAUUAGAUAACCCGU
rnacentral:rRNA from 1 species